CUUAUUGGAAUUGCUGGGUAGCACCAGCCAUUCUUAUGACCGGGUUAUUUGCUAAUUUUCGAACUGUCACUUUUGAGUUUAAUUCUCCAAAUGAGACAGACCCUAAAGAGUGAAAAACUUGUUGUGUGGUUGGAACAUGCGAUAUUCAACAAUUCAAAAAGUGGCCAAGUAAUGUGAAGUGUACUGUACUUGUGUACUUGUGUGUACUUGUGUGUACUUGUAUUCAAUCAAUGGAAAUAAAACAUCAGUAUCACAAUUAGAGGACUCCGUCAAUAAGAAUGUAAAUAUCGACUUAUGACCCGCAGGCCGGGCGCUACGUAAAUAGCUCUUAACAGCUGUAGCCACUGGUGUUAAGAUUCCGGAAUUCAGCCUAGUUCACCGUGGAUUUGGAGUGCUACCGCUCGAACGUAUGCGAAUCUUUUCGACGUGAAGUGUAAAGAUCAGCAGCCGGGGAAAACGAGGGAAGCUCCGAUUCUGGCAUUUAUUAUGUGAUUACGACACCGUUCUUGCUAGGAGGCAUCUUAUGGAAAAAAAUAAUAGAAUGUUUCCGAAUCUGUAGCCGAAGCCGGUUGGCGGCAAUAAGGAGAGCAUUUGAUUCCAGCAUUGAUUCUUGACCUGGCGCAACUGUUAGCUGGCGAGGCGGAUGACCACGCCUUGAUGCAUUGAUUCUAGAGGCAGUUACAGGCGCUCCGGAGACCAAGAUGACAGUUUUCGGCAAAAAGGAAGAUUUUCGUUUCCUGAAUUGAUUUUUACGGCAGCGCUGGUGGUGUUCCGGAGAUAAAGGAGCAGAAGACGAUUGUAGCUUACUUUGGUUCCGGAGGUAGCUACUGGUGGUGCUCUGACUGCUACGACUGUUGAAGAGAUGGAAUUACCGCGCUUGUACAAAAUCUUAAUACCUACCAGUACUAUUAUAUCUUAAUAAUGUCAAUCAUA